GCUACGUUUGACCUACAUGUAUAACGCUGGGUAGGUAUAUGUAACACAAGUAGACGGAAAGAAAAGUCUCUUGGCACCAUGCUCUAAACUGUACCGGAUGUCGCCAAUAUUGAUUUCUGUUUCACUAUGUUUGUGCAAAGCUCAUCUCAUUUCCACAUACAGGUAUUCACCUGCGUUUCAUACUCCAGGCCAGCAGGUGGCGGUAAUGCACCAAAUAUAUGGAUGCAACUCGCUUUUAUACAUCAAGAAGCAGACGAACAAUAACACAGCGUGCUGACGGCGGCUGAUACUCCAGGCCAGCAGGUGGCGGUAAUGCACCAAAUAUAUGGAUGCAAACCGCUGUUUAGAGAAGAAGAAGUAUCACACUGCAGCUUUGCCGGCCUGGUCUGCAGUCUGCUCCGUCUGAGACGGUUACUCAAUGCUAUGCUACACGAGGAGCUCCAUGCUAAUGCGACCCUCCAUUCAAAUAUAUAAUGGUUUCUCCUGUUCGCCAGUCGGCAUGAACACAUAAAUACUGUGGAUAUUACGUUACAUAACCGCAGUGAAAGAACGACACUAUGGAGAUGUUUGGACUGCAGUAUAAUGAGCAUGGUUGCCCCCAGUUCCUGUGGACUGGGACCAGCACAGGACCAAGACUGCCCGACCUCCUCCAGAGCAGUGCAUCCACUGCACAGUCAUCGUAAUGGACGUGGCACUAAGGAGGAUUGUCCAGCCGCAGAUGACGCUGAAGAACCGUUACAAAACGCUAACACCAGUCUGCUUCAGCAGCUUGGUUGAAAUGGAGAUUGGAUGAUGCACUGUGCCCAACUAAUCAUACACGUGAUGCCUUGAGAGGUCGGGGUCAGAUUGCCAGCAGGUGGCGGUAAUGCACCAAAUAUAUGGAUGCAACUCGCUUUUAUACAUCAAGAAGCAGAUGAACAAUAACACAGCGUGCUGACGCCGUCUGAUACUCCAGGCCAGCAGGUGGCGGUAAUGCACCAAAUAUAUGGAUGCAAACCGCUGUUUAGAGAAGAAGGACACUGCAGCUUUGCCGGCAUAAUCUGCACCCUGCUCCGUCUGAGACGACACUAUGGAGAUGUUUGGACUGCAGUAUAAUGAGCAUGGUUGCCCCCAGUUCCUGUGGACUGGGACCAGCACAGGACCAAGACUGCCCGACCUCCUCCAGAGCAGUGCAUCCACUGCACAGUCAUCGUAAUGGACGUGGCACUAAGGAGGAUUGUCCAGCCGCAGAUGACGCUGAAGAACCGUUACAAGCCGCUAACACCAGUCUGCUUCAGCAGCUUGGUUGAAAUGGAGAUUGGAUGAUGCACUGUGCCCAACUAAUCAUACACGUGAUGCCUUGAGAGGUCGGGGUCAGAUUGCCAGCAGGUGGCGGUAAUGCACCAAAUAUAUGGAUGCAAACUGCUGUUUAGAGAAGAAGAAGAAGAAGACUGCAGCUGCGGGCCUGGUCUGCAGUCUGCUCCGUCUGAGACGACACUAUGGAGAUGUUUGGACUGCAGUAUAAUGAGCAUGGUUGCCCCCAGUUCCUGUGGACUGGGACCAGCACAGGACCAAGACUGCCCGACCUCCUCCAGAGCAGUGCAUCCACUGCACAGUCAUCGUAAUGGACGUGGCACUAAGGAGGAUUGUCCAGCCGCAGAUGACGCUGAAGAACCGUUACAAGCCGCUAACACCAGUCUGCUUCAGCAGCUUGGUUGAAAUGGAGAUUGGAUGAUGCACUGUGCCCAACUAAUCAUACACGUGAUGCCUUGAGAGGUCGGGGUCAGAUUGCCAGCAGGUGGCGGUAAUGCACCAAAUAUAUGGAUGCAACUCGCUUUUAUACAUCAAGAAGCAGACGAACAAUAACACAGCGUGCUGGCGCCGGCUGAUACUCCAGGCCAGCAGGUGGCGGUAAUGCACCAAAUAUAUUGAUGCAAACCGCUGUUUAGAGCAGAAGAAGUAUCACACUGCAGCUUUGCCGGCCUGGUCUGCAGUCUGCUCCGUCUGAGACGACACUAUGGAGAUGUUUGGACUGCAGUAUAAUGAGCAUGGUUGCCCCCAGUUCCUGUGGACUGGGACCAGCACAGGACCAAGACUGCCCGACCUCCUCCAGAGCAGUGCAUCCACUGCACAGUCAUCGUAAUGGACGUGGCACUACGGAGGAUUGUCCAGCCGCAGAUGACGCUGAAGAACCGUUACAAACUAACACCAGUCUGCUUCAGCAGCUUGGUUGAAAUGGAGAUUGGAUGAUGCACUGUGCCCAACUAAUCAUACACGUGAUGCCUUGAGAGGUCGGGGUCAGAUUGUACAUUCACCUGCGUUUCAUACUCCAGGCCUCACAACCUAAAGGAUCGUUUUGAUUUCCUCCAUCACGUUUUGGAUUUUAUACCACAAUGAUCUAGGAGCACUAGCAUAUUAAUAUUCCACCAUCAUCACGAGCUAGACAGAGCCCGGAGGAGAACUAUAAUCAUUUACAGGACAUUAAUAUCACUAACUACAUCACAUUCGGUGGCAAUAAGUACAGGUAGUAGGAAGGCCGGAGAAGGCCUCAGUUGAAACAGUGGGUAAAGUUCUUCUUCUGCCAAUCUUCCCUUCGACUAAAUUCGUUUCAAUAAACAUCUUAUCUGGUAUAAUGAUCAAGGGAUAAUAGGGACCUCUUUAUCUAGUGCAUUACCAGAAAAUAGAGGGGCUUUAGGACCCACCGAAGAGUUUAAUAAAACUAAAAGAAUAAAGAAAAAUUAUAGAAUUUAAUUGCCUCACGAUUUAUUUAAUCUUCUUUAACCAACAAACCCCUGACCUUUAUGGGACAUUAAUUAAACCCCCUCCCCAACGAAUAAUAUCACGUAAUUUCACUUACCUGUGACAACCGGAACCGGAACUGGAAAUAAUCCCCGCGGAAAAUAGCCCCCAGCUAGACGCUCGCUCCAAUUCCCGUACCCGCACUCCGGACAAGGAAGGACACGGACUCGACUGAAGAAUUAUAACGGCGAUCUAUUUCGUGUCACGGACCCGCUCCACAGACCGCAGGACGACACGGACGUGCUCCUAUACUUUGAUACGGAUGACGCUGAAGAACCGUUACAAGCCGCUAACACCAGUCUGCUUCAGCAGCUUGGUUGAAAUGGAGAUUGGAUGAUGCACUGUGCCCAACUAAUCAUACACGUGAUGCCUUGAGAGGUCGGGGUCAGAUUGUGAGUACUCCUCUGUUUUCCUGAUCCGAUGUGAGGUCAAAGGUCAGGGAUGUCUGUGUCCAGAUUGUAAUGCACUCCGAGACAAAUUUGUAAAUUGUGAAAAUGGGCUAUACAAAUAAACUGAAUUGAAUUGA